rnacentral:rRNA from 2 species
AUGCCGCGGUGAAUACGUUCCCGGGCCUUGUACACACCGCCCGUCACACCACGAGAGUUUGUAACACCCGAAGUCGGUGAGGUAACCGCAAGGAGCCAGCCGCCUAAGGUGGGACAGAUGAUUGGGGUGAAGUCGUAACAAGGUAGCCGUAUCGGAAGGUGCGGCUGGAUCACCUCCUUUCU